UGCCAGCCGCCGCGGUAAUACGGAGGGAGCGAGCGUUAAUCGGAAUUACUGGGCGUAAAGCGCGCGUAGGCGGCUUAGUAAGUCGGAUGUGAAAGCCCUGGGCUUAACCUGGGAAUGGCAUUCGAUACUGCUUGGCUAGAGUAUGGUAGAGGGAAGUGGAAUUUCCGGUGUAGCGGUGAAAUGCGUAGAUAUCGGAAGGAACACCAGUGGCGAAGGCGACCACCUGGUACAGUAUUGACGCUGAGAUGCGAAAGCGUGGGGAGCUAACAGGAUUAGAUA
rnacentral:rRNA from 1 species